rnacentral:rRNA from 1 species
UACGUAGGGUGCAAGCGUUAAUCGGAAUUACUGGGCGUAAAGCGUGCGCAGGCGGUUUUGUAAGACUGUCGUGAAAUCCCCGGGCUUAACCUGGGAAUUGCGAUGGUGACUGCAAGGCUAGAGUUUGGCAGAGGGGGGUAGAGUUCCACGUGUAGCAGUGAAAUGCGUAGAGAUGUGGAGGAACACCGAUGGCGAAGGCAGCCCCCUGGGUCAAAACUGACGCUCAUGCACGAAAGCGUGGGGAGCAAACAGG